CAGUCGCCACGGGAAUACGAAGGGGGCUAGCGUUGUUCGGAUUUACUGGGCGUAAAGGGCGCGUAGGCAGGCGAAUAAGUCAGGGGUGAAAUCCCAAGGCUCAACCUUGGAACUGCCUUUGAUACUGUUUGUCUUGAGUUCGAGAGAGGUAAGUGGAACUGCGAGUGUAGAGGUGAAAUUCGUAGAUAUUCGCAAGAACACCAGUGGCGAAGGCGGCUUACUGGCUCGAAACUGACGCUGAGGCGCGAAAGCGUGGGGAGCAAACAGGAUUAGAUACCCCGGUAGUCCCUGUCUCUUAUAU
rnacentral:rRNA from 1 species